rnacentral:rRNA from 1 species
UGCAAGUCGAGGGGAAACGACGGGGAAGCUUGCUUCCCCGGGCGUCGACCGGCGCACGGGUGAGUAACGCGUAUCCAACCUGCCUCUGACUGAGGGAUAACCCGUCGAAAGUCGGCCUAAUACCUCAUGGCAUCGUCUGCGGGCAUCCAACGACGAUUAAAGAUUUCAUCGGUCAGGGAUGGGGAUGCGUCUGAUUAGCUUGUUGGCGGGGUAACGGCCCACCAAGGCUACGAUCAGUAGGGGUUCUGAGAGGAAGGUCCCCCACAUUGGAACUGAGACACGGUCCAAACUCCUACGGGAGGCAGCAGUGAGGAAUAUUGGUCAAUGGGCGAGAGCCUGAACCAGCCAAGUAGCGUGCAGGAUGACGGCCCUAUGGGUUGUAAACUGCUUUUAUGCGGGGAUAAAGUGAGGGACGUGUCCUUCAUUGCAGGUACCGCAUGAAUAAGGACCGGCUAAUUCCGUGCCAGCAGCCGCGGUAAUACGGAAGGUCCGGGCGUUAUCCGGAUUUAUUGGGUUUAAAGGGAGCGUAGGCCGUGGAUUAAGCGUGUUGUGAAAUGCAGGUGCUCAACGUCUGCACUGCAGCGCGAACUGGUCCACUUGAGUGUGCGCAACGCAGGCGGAAUUCGUCGUGUAGCGGUGAAAUGCUUAGAUAUGACGAAGAACUCCGAUUGCGAAGGCAGCUUGCGGGAGCACAACUGACGCUGAAGCUCGAAAGUGCGGGUAUCGAACAGGAUUAGAUACCCUGGUAGUCCGCACGGUAAACGAUGGAUGCCCGUUGUCAGGCUGUUUCAGCCUGGUGACCAAGCGAAAGCAUUAAGCAUCCCACCUGGGGAGUACGC